CAGUGAUGAAGGUUUUCGGAUCGUAAAACUCUGUUGUUAGGGAAGAACAAGUACCGUUCGAAUAGGGCGGCACCUUGACGGUACCUAACCAGAAAGCCACGGCUAACUACGUGCCAGCAGCCGCGGUAAUACGUAGGUGGCAAGCGUUGUCCGGAAUUAUUGGGCGUAAAGCGCGCGCAGGCGGUUUCUUAAGUCUGAUGUGAAAGCCCCCGGCUCAACCGGGGAGGGUCAUUGGAAACUGGGGAACUUGAGUGCAGAAGAGGAGAGUGGAAUUCCACGUGUAGCGGUGAAAUGCGUAGAGAUGUGGAGGAACACCAGUGGCGAAGGCGACUCUCUGGUCUGUAACUGACGCUGAGGCGCGAAAGCGUGGGGAGCGAACAGGAUUAGAUACCCUGGUAGUCCACGCCGUAAACGAUGAGUGCUAAGUGUUAGAGGGUUUCCGCCCUUUAGUGCUGCAGCAAACGCAUUAAGCACUCCGCCUGGGGAGUACGGUCGCAAGACUGAAACUCAAAGGAAUUGACGGGGGCCCGCACAAGCGGUGGAACCAUGUGGGUUUAAUUCGAAAGCAACGCGAANAACCUUACC
rnacentral:rRNA from 1 species